GUUCACUUUUAAUGGCUUCUAUUUGUACUGAAAUGUACAUAUGAUUAGAUUAGAGAAUGUUAAUGAAAGUAGUCCUUUGAAAGUUGGACUCAGAGAUACCUGGAGAUUUGAAGGCAAUCCUGUUGAGAAAGCCCAGCGAAACUCAUUUGAGCACACUAAGCUCAUCUAAAGUUGUCAAUAGGGCAUUGGUCUACAAGUAAUGACAGCGUCGCCUCACAAUAUCGGCUGCUUGAUACGACAAACAGGGUAUUUCCUCUCUAGAGAGACAAAACUAUGACAGUACAUUGUAUAAACAUGUAGGUCAAGCAGUAUGAGGAUUAUUGGCAAGGAGGAUAACUUUAGAAUGUUUUAAAGGACAUAGUUUUGCAUCAAAUGCUUCUGUCUUUACUUUACUGGAUCUCAGUGCUCAUUUGCUGCAGUAAAAUAUUAGCAAACAGUACAGUUGAUGGGUAUUUGUGAAACUGCUAAACAUCUAACUUAGCAAAUCAAGACUUCAUUACGUCAUUUGGAAAAGCUGUGUCUGAGUGAACACCAGUCACAUGCGGUGUUCCUCCAGGCGCCAUCGUCUGGCCACGUUUAUUUACAAAUUCACUUGCUUAACAUAACUAUGCUGAUGACACAUUUUAUUUUAUAAGACCCUUAUAGUCACUUAGUCUGCUUUUUUCCCCCUUUUUGGUAUCCAAAAUGAGAUGUUUGAGAUCAGCACUCAACUAGAUCCAAUUAAGCUAAAAAUAACAAAACAUGCAAGCAACUUUGGUGUGGUUUUAGACCCAGACCUACAAAGCCAAAGGUGUAAAGUGAAAAAUUUGUUUCCCUAGGAUAUGUCAUAUUUAUGGUGCCUUCACCGGCAUAUGUAAGAAAAUUAAUCAGAGCUUAACCCAAACCUGGUUGCCACAGUCCUGACCAGCACCAGGAAAAUGGAUCACACCACAGGAUUGCACCCAGUCCCUGUUAGUAAAAGGAUAUAUUUUUAAAUGGUGUUAUUGAACUACACAGAAUGGUGCUGGACCUGAACGUCUCGUGGGAACCUUUUAGACACAUCAGGUCUUCAGAGACUCGUUAACUCAGUGUUGCUAGGACCGGCGCGGGCAACAUUUAGUUUCUACGCUCCCCGGCUCUGGAACAAACUCCCUGUAAGCCCGACGUCCAGAAACUAUUGGAUUCUUUAAAUCGGGACUGGAAGCAUUAUUAGCUCUUACAAAAGACUUCAAGGCCGGAUUAAGGCGCUUUUUUUGCUGCCUCCCUGUGUUUUGUGAAAGGAUCGAUGCACCAAAGUGGGCAAAUGUCAGGCUGCUUUUAUCACGGCCCUGACUCGCCGGGUGAGGAGGUCACCGGUCACCGUCAUUGGCUGACAUCAACAGGUUUUUUGCACUUUGAACUAUCUUGUGUAUGGAUCACGCUGUGCUAAUAAACAUGCCCAGCCUUG